rnacentral:tRNA from 3 species
UGGUCGGGAUAGCUCAGCUGGUAGAGCAGAG